rnacentral:rRNA from 1 species
GAUGAACGCUAGCGGCAGGCCUAAUACAUGCAAGUCGAACGGUGUCUUCGGACAUAGUGGCGCACGGGUGCGUAACACGUAUGCAACCUACCUUACAUUGGGGGAUAGCCUUUCGAAAGGGAGAUUAAUACCGCAUAAGACAGUAGCUGGGCAUCCAGCAGCUGUUAAAGAUUUAUCGAUGUAAGCUGGGCAUGCGUCCAAUUAGCUAGUUGGUGAGGUAACGGCUCACCAAGGCAAUGAUUGGUAGGGGAACUGAGAGGUCAAUCCCCCACACUGGCAUUGAGAUACGGGCCAGACUCCUACGGGAGGCAGCGGUAGGGAAUAUUGGGCAAUGGACGCAAGUCUGACCCAGCCAUGCCGCGUGCAGGAUGAAGGCGUUAUGCGUUGUAAACUGCUUUUAUACAGGAAGAAACGACUCUUGCGAGAGGCAUUGACGGUACUGUAUGAAUAAGCACCGGCUAACUCCGUGCCAGCCGCCGCCGUAAUAC